GCACCGCGCACUCCAGCAGCUCCGGGGUGCGGUGAUCCAGAGAGGCGGAGAUCUCCAGGUACAGACAGUUGAAGAGGGCGGCGCUGGACAUGGCCUCUGGGGGGAGACACGGAGAGGAGAGGGGAGAAGAUGAAGUAAGCCUGACAGAGUCCAACAGUAAAACAAGUUCAACAAGCCACGAGCAGCCAGAGGUUUCAGACUGAGCUGCUCCGCUGCCGCCAUCUUGGCAGUGUCUGACUCCGCCCCCUAACUCCCGGCUAAUCCAAAAAUGGGCAAAGAGGACUUCAGUGCAUACGCUCACCCACCCAUCACUCAAAGUGGCCACGCCCUCAAUUCUCCAUAACGUUAAGCCUUGAUAAAAUGUAAACAGAAGCCUCUGAGCUGCACUCAAGGGAAACGGGUGAAAAAGUGCACAACAACCCGAUAAUGAGCUUUCCUCAUUCUGCGCUGCAGUUCCUUGUUAUUCCUUCCUUUCAUUCAACCUCAUGCAGAUGCAGCAGAUUUAUCGUCUUCUCUUCAGUCUUCCUCUGAGCUUGACAUACAUUUUUUUUUAUAGUGCUGUCAAAUAAACAAUGAAAUGUUCUCCAGAUGUACAGUAUGAACCCCUGUAUAAUGUGCUGCUUAUGCAGUAAGCGCUGCAGUUCCUUGUUAUUCCUUCCUUUCUUAUUCUGUAUGCUAAUUUUAUUAGCAACCUUUCCCAGGUGUACCGCAUCAUCAGUGCAGGGCAUGCUGGGAUACGCUCAUAUUCCUAUUUAUGUAUGAAUGUAUGGAGAUUUCUCUUCACACUCUUUAAACGCUUUAAAUCCUGGUACUAUUUCCCAAACUUAUUUGCUAAUACAAAGCGUCAUCCUGUGCAGCACACACAGAGCUUCAAAUAAAGAAAAUCAAACAAAGAGGUAUACCUUGAGUUUCUUACAACAGGUGGAGGCUUUGGCAACCUUCAGGUCCUCUGACAGGAGCAUAUAUAUAAAUAUAUAUUUAACAGCAGCACCCUGUAUACAGCUGCAGAGAGGGCUCAGUGGCCUAAUGAGGGAGCAGGGAGUGUGGGAACU